GUUUGAGAGCACCAAAGAUCGUCCAAAAACAUAUCAAAAACUGAAUUUUCAGAGCGCGAAAACCUCGAAAUCGCUUUGCCCUUAGUAAAGAAAAAAAAAAUCCUCGAAAUCACGUUAUUAGAGCAACUCCAAGAGAUCCCUUAAAUUACCCCUAAUAACUUAAUUAGGAAGAAAAAGAAAAAAAACCCUCUCCAACAGCUCCCCUAAAGCUGCCGUAUAUUUUCGCAGACCCGAAUCGGGACUCCCACGCCCCGCAUAUUUUCGCGAGUUCCUCACUUCCCC
rnacentral:lncRNA from 1 species